ensembl:lncRNA
UGGCACCCAUCACACCUGUGACACCCAUCACACCUGGGGCACGCAUUGCAUGGAUGGUGCAGUCACACCUGUGACACACCUGUGGCACCUGUGGCACACCUGGCACCUGCAUGGAUGGGGGGCAGCCAUCGCACCUGUAUCACCUAUGGCACACCUGUGACACACCUGUGACUCACCUGUGGCACCUAUGGCACACCUGUGACACACCCGUGACUCACCUGUGUUACCUGUGGCACACCUGUGACACACCUGUGACUCACCUGUGUUACCUGUGGCACACCUGGCACCUGCAUGGAUGGGGGGCAGCCAUCGCACCUGUGGGCACACCUGUGGCACACCUGUGGCACCUAUGGCACACCUGUGAUACACCUGUGACUCACCUGUGUUACCUGUGGCACACCUGUGACACACCUGUGACUCACCUGUGUUACCUGUGGCACACCUGUGUUACCUGUGGCACACCUGGCACCUGCUGCAGCAGCUUCAUGGAUUUGGGAGGGGCUAUCGCACCUGUGGCACACCUGUGACACACCUGUGGCACCUGCAUGGAUGGGGGGGCCAUCGCACCUGUGACACCUGUGGCACACCUGGCACCUGCUGCAUGGGCUUGGGGGUGUGGCACCCUUGGCACACCUGUGGCACACCUGUGACACACCUGGAAUCUGCAUGGAUGGGGGGCCAUCGCACCUGUGGCACACCUGUGGCACACCUGGCACCUGCUGCAUGGGCUUGGGGGGUGUGGCACCCUUGGCACACCUGCAACACACCUGUGGCAGCUGUUGCAUGGAUUGGGGUGGGCAUCGCACCUGUGGUGUCCGUCACACCUGUGCCCAGCACACCUGUUCACACCUGUACCAUCACACCUGUACCCAUCACACCUGUUCACACCUGUACCCAUCACACCUGGCACACCUAUACCCAUCACACCUGUACUAUCACACCUGCACCCAUCAUACCUAUACCCAUGUCACCUGUGCCCAUCACACCUGUUCACACCUGUACCAUCUCACCUGCACCCUUCACACCUAUGCCCAUCACACCUGGCACACCUGUACCCAUCUCACCUGUUCACACCUGUACCCAUCACACCUGUGCCCAUCACACCUGUUCACACCUGUACCAUCUCACCUGUGCCCAUCACACCUGUGCCCAUCACACCUGUCACACCUGCACCCAUCACACCUGUACUAUCACACCUGUCACACCUGCACCCAUCAUACCUACACCCAUGUCACCUGUAGCCAUCACACCUGCACCCUUCACACCUGUACCCGUCACACCUGUACCCGUCACACAUGUACCCAUUGCACCUGUACCCAUCACACCUGUCACACCUGUGCCCAUCAUACCUAUACCCAUGUCACCUGUACCCAUCACACCUGUUCACACCUGUACCCAUCUCACCUGCACCCAUCACACCUGUUCACACCUGUACCCAUCACACCUGGCACACCUGUACCCAUCUCACCUGCACCCAUCUCACCUGCACCCAUCACACCUGUUCACACCUGUACCUGUCCCACCUGCCCACCCACUUCGGGGUUAAAGGGAAGGACGUGGCUCGGGGGGCGUGU